GAGGAGUUGGAGACUGAAACCACAAAACUUAAAAGUAUUCAAGCAUUCAUUAAUUCCAUGAGAUUAGACAGUUCUGGAUAGUUGCAACAGUAGUUAACUUAGAACUUCAAAAGGACUGGUCAUAUAUGGGAUGCAAGAAGUGUCAGAGAAAAAUUGACAAUGUUGGUAAUAAAGUUGAUUGCAAAAAAUGUGCUCGAGAUGAGAUUGCUUCUCAUAGAAUUUCAUGGAAGAUAUUGAGGUGACGUCUCCUAAAAAAGCUACUACAAAGAGAGGAAGAUCAAAAAAUGAAGGAUCUAUUACAGAUGAUAGUGUUGAUAUUGCACAACUAUCCAGUAACAAGGCCAAGAAAGUUAUUAAGAAAGAGAAAAAUCCAUGGACAAGUGGACGUACAUUAAAUUUGUUAAUUACAUUUUAC